CUGCAGCCCGAGUGGUGAUCGAUUUUAUUGAGCCUAAAGCGUCCGUAGCCGGACUAGUAAACCCUCGGGUAAAUUGGGCAGCUUAACUGUCCAAAUUCCGAGGGGACUGCUAGUCUUGGGACCGGGAGAGGUCAGAGGUACUCAAGGGGUAGGGGCUAAAUCCUGUAAUCCUUUGGGGACCACCAGUGGCGAAGGCGUCUGACUAGAACGGAUCCGACGGUAAGGGACGAAACCCUGGGGCGCGAACCGGAUUAGAUACCCGAGUAGUCC
rnacentral:rRNA from 1 species